CAGCAGCCGCGGGAAUACGUAGGUCCCGAGCGUUGUCCGGAUUUAUUGGGCGUAAAGCGAGCGCAGGCGGUUAGAUAAGUCUGAAGUUUAAGGUUGUGGCUUAACCAUAGUACGCUUUGGAAACUGUUUAACUUAAGUGCAAGAGGGUAGAGUGGAAUUCCAUGUGUAGCGGUGAAAUGCGUAGAUAUAUGGAGGAACACCGGUGGCGAAAGCGGCUCUCUGGCUUGUAACUGACGCUGAGGCUCGAAAGCGUGGGGAGCAAACAGGAUUAGAGACCCCCGUAGUCCCUGUCUCUUAUACA
rnacentral:rRNA from 1 species